rnacentral:rRNA from 1 species
CCUACGGGUGGCAGCAGUGAGGAAUAUUGGUCAAUGGGCGCGAGCCUGAACCAGCCAAGUCGCGUGAGGGAUGACGGUCCUACGGAUUGUAAACCUCUUUUGCCGGGGAGCAAGCGUUCGUUCGUGAACGCGCGUCGAGAGUACCCGGAGAAAAAGCAUCGGCUAACUCCGUGCCAGCAGCCGCGGUAAUACGGAGGAUGCGAGCGUUAUCCGGAUUUAUUGGGUUUAAGGGGUGCGUAGGCGGGAUGCCAAGUCAGCGGUAAAAAUGCGGUGCUCAACGCCGUCGAGCCGUUGAAACUGGCGUUGUUGAGUGGGCGAGAAGUAUGCGGAAUGCGUGGUGUAGCGGUGAAAUGCAUAGAUAUCGAGAGGAACACUCGUGGCGAAGGCGGGUUCCUGGACAUUAACUGACGCUGAGGCACGAAGGCCAGGGGAGCGAAAGGGAUUAGAUACCCGGGUAGUC